ensembl:lncRNA
AUGUUCAUUCUCAAAUAUCAUUUAUUUUUCAUUCAAUGCUAUAUAUGUAGGUAUUUUACAUACAAUACUUUCAUUCAUAUUCCCAAUUUACUGCAAGAGCCUAUUAGUUAUUGCUCUUUAAUGGUGUUAAAAAAUAGCAAAAGGCAACUGACCCAUACAUUAGCUGUGCCAAACAUUACAGACACACAUUAUAAGCUUGCAGGCAAAACUCGAGAGGCAAAUGUAUGUGAGAAAGUAAGAAAAACUCAAGAGAAAUCAUCUAGAGAGUCAUUCUUAUUUGCAUUAGGAAGCGCUUGAAGUUUCUGCUGAUUAUUUUGCAGAGUCGUGAUGAGACCUUUCAGCUCCGCAUCAUUGUAGAAACGGUCUCCGAGCAACUUAAUGGAAAGUGCAAACACAUGCUGCAGGAUUUUCAUCAGCGACUCCAGGACCAUGAUGUGGCGUGUCUCGAGCUCGGCCGCGUUAGUGGUUUUGGCCAAGCUGCCCAAAAGAGUAACGCAACUCCUCAUCUUAACCUGAAUAUCAGCCAUCACAGUGCGCUGCUGUUUGAUGUCUGAGAUCUCGCGGUCAACCCCCUCUAUCUCCCAAUACAACUUUUUGAUUUUGCCAUUCAUGUUAUCAGUAUCGGAAGUCAACUGGGACACCUUUGAGGAAAAAUUGGCUACGUCUCUCUCAGCGCUUUUCACCACGUCGGUGGCUUGUCUUGCCGUGUAGGAUGCGUUGUCAUAGUCUUUGAUACCAGCAUCAAUCAUGAAUGGCCCUAGAAAAGGUCAGAAUUUAUUUCCAUAAAAAAAAAAGAGAGAUUUAACAAUCACACAACAAACCUAUUUCAUUGACUAUUCAGAUGAAACAUCUUCAAACAUUAUUUGCAUCAUUUUGUGUAUAAAACAUACAGGGCUCAUGAGGGAAGACAUUUUACCUGCUAUCCACCCAAUUAUAGGGAGGGCCAAUAGUCCAUAACCAGCAUCUCUUAGUUUCUGUGACUCCCUCUUCUUGUGUUCUUGGUUCUGAAGCCGUUGUUGUGCGUCACGAGCUAGCCUCUUGGCCCGUUCCAAAGAAUUGGAGUACGCAUUUAACGUUUCCUUGCACUGGCUUAAUUGUAUGGUCAAGCUAUCUCUCUGUGUUUUUCUCUCUCUUUUCUUUUUUUCAAGGACUCCCUUUUGGACUGUGAGCUCCUCAUAAUGUGUGUCUAACUUGUACAGUUCACUGCUAGCUGCCCUCUCUGACUGCCCAAUGCUUUUCUGAGAUGCCUCUAUUAUAUUACGGAGUUCUUCAAACAUGACAUGAGUUUUAAGAAUGUAUGAGACAUUGGUAACGAGGAGUUUGCAUGCAAGUUCAUUGAAUGAAAUUACUCCUCUUUUGAGAGAUGGAAUAGCUACAUCCAUAAAUGUCUGCUGAGUCCUGUUGAGAAAAGGGUAAAAAAGGUGUUAGUCAGACAAAAGUGAUAUGAAGCGCAUCUACACUAUAUAUUAACUAUAAUAGACACUGUCACUUAUCAAUUAAUAAGCACAUAUAAAUGUGAAAUAUAAAGGUAUAUAAUUAACUUUUAUAUCAGCACAUGUUGCAAGGAAAUCUUCAAACAACAUGGAUAACAUUUGGAGGCCAGAAAUGUAUCCAAAUUUAAUUAAUUAAUUCCAAAGAAGGAUCCAUCACAUUUUGGAGUGGAUCUGAAUCUUAGGGCGGAUCCACAACAUUGCGAAUUAGGGCAUUUGGUCUUGGCGGAGGUCAUCACUCUCUGAGUGCCCUUCGAGUUAUCAUUUCUAUUUCAAUCAAAUAUAUUACAUUCAGCCCAGAUACUCUCCUACCAAAUACACUGGCUGGUUAUGCUUCACAAUCAACAUGAAAAAAGUAAAUUGAUAAUGGAUUACUUAGAGAGAGCCAUGCUGGAGUUCUGGUGAUACUCUGAGACAGUUCGUUGGAUGAGAUGAGUAGGUGUCUUUAUGUGCUGAAAAAAAUAUAUCAUGGCCGGGAAUAUUUAGACUGUAUUCAGGUUUUAGUGAGAAAUAGCACAAUCAAUAUAUGUUAGUUCAAGAUCUGACAGGGAUAUUACAGACAGAUGCACAGGAUUGAAGUAUAUAUAUAUCUCUAUGUUGUAGCUCAUAUGUAAUCACAAAAGCCUGAGAGUUGCAGGAGAAUUACUUGUUCAUUUGUAAAUCCAUAUAUUAUUUAUAAUACAUAUAUUUCACGUUGAAUAAAAGAAAACCAAGAAAACA